rnacentral:tRNA from 1 species
GGGACUGUAGCUCAGUGGCAGAGUACUUGCCUCACAUGUAUGAGACACUGGGUUCGAUCCUCAGCACCA